CGGCUUCUCGGCGCCAUUUUGUCCCGGCAGCGGUGGCCGCAGCUCUACCGCAUAUUAUAUUUCUAGCAUGAAGGAAGCCGAGUCGUUGUCCGGCCGAUCUAUCUUAGUGCGGAAUCCAUCCACAGCUUGCUCCAGUCCAGCACCUCGUGAAGUUCAGAAGAGUCGCGGAGCUGUCGGGAAGGUCGAUCGGAGGCUGUGUUCGACUGACGGGUGGGGGGGCGCUGCUCUGGAGGCUUCGGCACCGGAAGUGGAGGCGCCGCCUGCAGGCCUGAUGGGAUCCUGACUGUUCAUCUGACUGGCCUGGAAUGAAGCAGUUCUGCCUUACUUCCUAAUAAGACUGAUUUUGUGAGAAAAUGAGGCGCGAUGUUCCAGUUGUAAAGAUGUGGAUAUGCUUUCUUUGUUGAAAAUUUCUGUCAAGUAAGAAAUCCCCGAACAUGAAUGAAGAGUAAAUUUCUUCCUCAUUAGGGCCUUGGCUCAGUCCACCUUCAUGUUGAAAAAUUCUCUUCUAAUACUUGAGUUGCUGUAUUUGGAGAGCUGAUACUAAAUUUGAUAACUCAGAAUUGGUUCCACUACCAAAAAAUGAGGACCAAGUGAGUUGUUUGGGCUGGAAGGUGCAGCACAUCAUGGCAUUUGUGGUAGAAAUACAAGCAAAUGGAUGAUUCUUACCAGAUAAGUGCUUUUGUACUCUAAAAAUUCAUUUUAUGUGGAGCAGUGAAAGCAAAACUUUUUUAAACUUUUUUUUCUUUUUUUUUAGGUAGCAGGCUCAAGAUGACUUCUGGAGUAAUAAGGUAAUCUUAGUUUUACAAUAAAUUUUAUGUUAAAGUGUAAAUCUACCUGUAUCUAGCUUAAUCUUGUGUAUAUAUUACAUCAAUACAUAAUUCUUUUUCUAAGAGCUGUAUGGAGCUAGGUAUAGCUUAGUUUUACAUUUAUGGGGUAUUACACAGCAUCUACAGUAGCUAUAAUUGGCUUAGCUGCUCAAAGUUAGGAUUUAGAAUCAGGCUUUGUUGUUUUCUUUUGAGACAUGGGUGUCACUAUGUAGUUCAGCCUAUCAUUGAACUCUCACUGUGUAGCCCAGGCUGGCCUGGAACCCUCAGCAGUUCCCCUACUUCAACCCCAGGGGCUGGGAUUAUAGGUGUGUGCCAUCUGAUUUUUGAAGUUAUUAGCUAUAGUGAUAGAAAUUUAAGAAUAGUUACACUGGAGCACAGUUAUAGAUGAUUUAUGUAUUAGUCAUACUUUGGAACUUCGGAGAAAUAUAGAACUGACCAUAGGCUAGCUUAGGCAUACUGGUCUUCUGUCUGAAAAUUUAGUUGUAAUACUAAUUUAAAGUUGUAUCAAGGGCUGGGGAGAUAGCUCAGUAGAAUAAGUGCUUGCCUGGCGAGUUCCGGAUCAUGA